rnacentral:misc_RNA from 1 species
AUACACUCAAAAAAGGAGUAGUUCACAGACAGAGAAAGAAGGCGGCAAUUGCAGCUGUAGUUCAUAAUGAGAUUGGGAUAUUAGGUGGACUACCAGACUUGAAUGGAAACAACGCGGGCUUGUCAGUUGAAAAUAUGCAGGUUAUAGGUCCUGCUCCUACUCAAGGUAAACUUGAGCCUAAGAGGAGGAGGAGGAAGAAGGAAGAGUUGGUUUCCGAGAAUCUGCCAGAUCUGAGCAAAGGGAACACCCAGUUCAUUCCAAUGCUGAAAAGUGUGGAAGUCACCGGCUCGUUACCCUUGGAAGGUGGUCCUCAACCAGAUAACAUGUUGGGGGUACAGGGGGCGUCUUCCCUCCCGAAUGCUGAACUUUUUGCUGGACAACCAAAUGCCAAUGGAAUUCAUGCUGCAGGUAGCUCAUUACCAAAUAUUUCACAGAUCACCGGUCUGGUUUCGUCUGCAAAAGGAGAAGGCAAGAAACGGAAAAGGAAGGAGAAAGCAUUAAUUAUUCAGAAUACUUCUUCAGCUCUACCAGAUUUGAAUGGACAGGUCACCGAUCCGAAUUUGAAGGGAAAGGAGGUCACAGAAAUGAGUUCUGUCUCAGGUCAAGCUAAACCCAAGCAAAAAAGAAGAAGAGCUACUAAAUCUGCUGCCAUUGGGAUACCCAAUCCUAAUGGAGAUCACAACACUCUUCUGCUAUACUUUACGCCGGGUUCACCAGUGCCUUCUAAAGAGUAUAUCUGUGCUACUUUUGCCAGUUUUGGUCCGUUGGAGGAAUCCAAAACUUUGUACCUUAAUGAUUCUACUGCCCAGGUGGUCUUUGCAAAGGAUAGUGAUGCUAUGGAAGCCUUGCAGAGUUUACAAAGCAGAAACCCGUUUGGACCUUCCCUUGUCAGUUAUCGUCUCCGUCAUGUUUCAACUUCUCAGCCCGCAGCUUUACUUUCUGGAGCAGUACCUUCAAAUGGCGAGGGACCUGAUCUGGUUGUGAUAAAACAGAAUCUGGAGUCGAUGACCACAAUGCUUGAGAAGGCUGGUGAUAAUAUUUCCCCCGAGAUAAAAGCCAAGUUGGAAAGCGAGGUGAAAGGCUUCUUGGAAAAGGUAAGCACCAUGGUUGGUUCUUCUUCGUCGUAGUUGAUAAUAAAAGUUGUAGUUCCUUAGUAAUCAUUGAAAUUGUGAAUCUAAUUAAUUAGGAUAUUUAUGCGAGAGGCUAACGACUGUUGUUGAGAACCCUGUGUUUUAUCUCGCCUCGCUCGCUUUUUUAUUUUCAGUAGAAUUGCUGGAUCUGUUCUCUCCUGGGCUACUGCUCUGUGUGUUACUGAGCUGUGUUGCCUUCUUUAUUGAAUGGAUAUUGG